rnacentral:rRNA from 1 species
GUUAUAGGAUCAAGCGACUAAGUGCAUCUGGUGGAUGCCUUGGCGAUGAUAGGCGAAGAAGGACGCGUUAGCCUGCGAAAAGCUACGGGGAGCUGGCAAAUAAGCAUUGAUCCGUAGAUAUCCGAAUGGGGAAACCCGGCCCUUUUGGGUCACUCAUCACUGAAUACAUAGGUGAUGUAGAGCGAACUCGGCGAACUGAAACAUCUAAGUAGCCGAAGGAAAAGAAAUCAACCGAGAUUCCCAAAGUAGUGGCGAGCGAAAUGGGAAGAGCCUGCAUGUGAUAAAUCAAACUUUAGUGGAACAGUCUGGAAAGUCUGGCGACAGUGGGUGAUAGCCCCGUACACGAAAAAGAUUGGUUGGUACUAAGCAUGCGACAAGUAGGGCGGGACACGAGAAAUCCUGUUUGAAGAUGGGGGGACCAUCCUCCAAGGCUAAAUACUCAUCAUCGACCGAUAGUGAACCAGUACCGUGAGGGAAAGGCGAAAAGAACCCCGGGAGGGGAGUGAAAUAGAACCUGAAACCGGAUGCAUACAAACAGUGGGAGCCCUUGCAAAAUGGGGUGACUGCGUACCUUUUGUAUAAUGGGUCAGCGACUUACGUUCAGUAGCAAGCUUAACCGAGUAGGGGAGGCGUAGGGAAACCGAGUCCGAAUAGGGCGCAUAGUUGCUGGGCGUAGACCCGAAACCAAGUGAUCUAUCCAUGGCCAGGAUGAAGCUGCGGUAAAACGCAGUGGAGGUCCGAACCCACUAAUGUUGCAAAAUUAGGGGAUGAGCUGUGGAUAGGGGUGAAAGGCUAAACAAACUUGGAAAUAGCUGGUUCUCCUCGAAAACUAUUUAGGUAGUGCCUCAUGUAUCACUGACGGGGGUAAAGCACUGUUAUGGCUAGGGGGUCAUCGCGACUUACCAAACCAUGGCAAACUCUGAAUACCGUCAAGUGCGAGCAUGGGAGACAGACUGUGGGUGCUAACGUCCAUGGUCAAGAGGGAAACAACCCAGAUCGCCGUCUAAGGUCCCAAAUAAUCAGUUAAGUGGAAAACGAGGUGGGAAGGCAUAGACAGCCAGGAUGUUGGCUUAGAAGCAGCCAUCAUUUAAAGAAAGCGUAAUAGCUCACUGGUCGAGUCGUCCUGCGCGGAAGAUGUAACGGGGCUCAAACUGAUAACCGAAGACGCGAAUAUGUGCGUUCCUUUAAGCACAUUCUAUAAGCUUGGCGUUGCGCAGCAACGUCAAAGCGUGUCAUUAAAGUCGAGUUGCUUCAAUGACGGAGUGGAUUUAAAGGAACGCACAUAUGGUAGAGGAGCGUUCCGUAGGCCUGCGAAGGUGUCUUGAGAAGGAUGCUGGAGGUAUCGGAAGUGCGAAUGCUGACAUGAGUAGCGAUAAUGCGGGUGAAAAGCCCGCACACCGAAAACCCAAGGUUUCCUGCGCAACGUUCAUCGGCGCAGGGUGAGUCGGCCCCUAAGGCGAGGCAGAAAUGCGUAGUCGAUGGACAACGGGUUAAUAUUCCCGUACCGAUAUAAAGUGCGAUGGGGGGACGGAGAAAGGUAGGUCAGCCCACUGUUGGAAUAGUGGGUUUAAGCGAGUAGGCGUGUGGCUUAGGCAAAUCCGGGCUGCUAUAACGCUGAGACGUGACGACGAAGUCCUCGGACUGAAGUGAUUGAUCCUAUGCUUCCAAGAAAAGCCUCUAAGCUUCAGCUUUAUAUUGACCGUACCGCAAACCGACACAGGUGGGUAGGAAGAGAAUUCUAAGGUGCUUGAGAGAACUCAGGAGAAGGAACUCGGCAAAUUAUCACCGUAACUUCGGGAGAAGGUGAGCCCAUAUUAAGUGAAAGCCCUUGCGGCUGGAGCUGAAAUGGGUCGCAGAGAAAUGGGGGCUGCGACUGUUUAUCAAAAACACAGCACUCUGCAAAGUCGAAAGACGACGUAUAGGGUGUGACGCCUGCCCGGUGCUGGAAGAUUAAAUGAUGGGGUGCAAGCUCUUGACUGAAGUCCCAGUAAACGGCGGCCGUAACUAUAACGGUCCUAAGGUAGCGAAAUUCCUUGUCGGGUAAGUUCCGACCCGCACGAAUGGCGUAACGAUGGCCCUACUGUCUCCUCCUGAGACUCAGCGAAGUUGAAAUGUUUGUGAAGAUGCAAUCUCCCCGCUGCUAGACGGAAAGACCCCGUGAACCUUUACUGUAGCUUUGCAUUGGACUUUGAAGUGGUUUGUGUAGGAUAGGUGGGAGGCAUUGAAGCGUGGACGCUAGUCUGCGUGGAGCCGACCUUGAAAUACCACCCUGACCCCUUUGAGGUUCUAACCUUGGUCCGUUAUCCGGAUCGGGGACCGUGCAUGGUAGGCAGUUUGACUGGGGCGGUCUCCUCCCAAAUUGUAACGGAGGAGCUCGAAGGUCGCCUAGGUACGGUCGGACAUCGUACUGAUAGUGUAAUGGCAUAAGGCGGCUUAACUGCGAGACAGACAAGUCGAGCAGGUGCGAAAGCAGGACAUAGUGAUCCGGUGGUUCUGAAUGGAAGGGCCAUCGCUCAACGGAUAAAAGGUACUCCGGGGAUAACAGGCUGAUUCCGCCCAAGAGUUCACAUCGACGGCGGAGUUUGGCACCUCGAUGUCGGCUCAUCACAUCCUGGGGCUGUAGCCGGUCCCAAGGGUAUGGCUGUUCGCCAUUUAAAGUGGUACGUGAGCUGGGUUCAAAACGUCGUGAGACAGUUUGGUCCCUAUCUGCAGUGGGCGUUGGAAAUUUGAGGGGGGCUGCUCCUAGUACGAGAGGACCGGAGUGGACAGAUCUCUGGUGUACCGGUUGUCACGCCAGUGGCAUCGCCGGGUAGCUAAAUCUGGAAGAGAUAAGCGCUGAAAGCAUCUAAGCGCGAAACUCGCCUCAAGAUGAGAUUUCCCCAAGGCUUUAAGCCUUUUAAAGGGUCGUUCGAGACCAGGACGUUGAUAGGUCGGGUGUGGAAGCGCAGUAAUGUGUUAAGCUAACCGAUACUAAUUGCCCGUAAGGCUUGAUCCUAUAACCUGAAGCG